rnacentral:rRNA from 1 species
UACGUAGGGGGCAAGCGUUGUCCGGAUUUAUUGGGCGAAAAGAGCGUGUAGGCGGCUUUACAGGUCCGUUGUGAAAACUCGAGGCUCAACCUCGAGACGCCGGUGGAAACCGUAAAGCUAGAGUCCGGAAGAGGAGAGUGGAAUUCCUGGUGUAGCGGUGAAAUGCGCAGAUAUCAGGAGGAACCCCCGUGGCGAAAGCGGCUCUCUGGGACGGUACUGACGCUGAGACGCGAAAGCGUGGGGAGCAAACAGG